UACUGGUUAGGUCUGUUUUAAUGAGCUUAAUGGAACGAUCAAAAUGAACAUUUGACAAAAAGAUGUGCUCGAUAAAAACCUGACAGAAAACGAAACCGUUGUAUGAAAGUAACGAGUCAUUUUUCAAGAACGGUAUGUUUUUUUUAAUAAAUUAAUGUUCAUUCAAAAUACAGUGCCAAUGGAACACGAUGCAGCCAAACAUGCUAGUAAGGUUUGUCAUGAAACACCUGUGCUCAUGUUUUUAAGGUAGGAACCAGGAAGCAGCUCCGUACAUCCUUCCCAUACAACCCCUCGUUAGUUCUCCACUACAGUUAGUGGUUGCCGGGAGAAUUCCAUAGCAACAGACCUAGGCCAGCCCUCUCCUUCCUUCUCAGAACCAAUCAGCAGCAAGAUUCCUCGAUAUUUCACUCACAAGAAAAUGUAAUCUGAUAGGAGAAAGAAAAUUAUACCAAUGCAGUCACACUACAGUAAUGUCUGAUGAUAUUAAAUAAAAAAGACACUAAUACAAAAUAGAACCUGGUUAUUUUACCCACGCUAAAACAGUUGUCUUUUUUAAACAUAUGAAAAAUAUACAUUUUUUAUAUUCAUAUAUAUAAUUCAGCAGCUUGGAAAUAAAAAUGCACAAGACCAAAAAUCUAUGGUUGAGUACUGAGGGAGAAAGAGUGAGAGACCAUGAGAGAGAGAGAAAGAUAGAGAGAGGGGGGGGAGUGAGAGAGAGAGAGUGAGAGGGGGAAAGAGUGAGAGUGAGGUGUGGUGUUGUCGCAGAGACCUGCGCUUGUAAAAAAUAACAAUGAUACUAAUGAGAGAAGAGAGUGAAGAGAGCAGGCGUGCAUCCUCCCAUCAUCAAUCCGACAGAGGCUGGUUAGGGUGAACUCUGUUCUGUAAACGGUCCACUGGCUGCCUGGAAGACCCGUGUGAGACUGACUAAACGUGCAUCACAAACCGCUCCGCCACUGCCCCCCCGCGUGGUGCGCCGGUCACGACCGAAUCAACUGGCCCCAGUCGUCCACAGCGGACCACGAGGGGCCGCCGACAGGCUAAAGGGAUGCUAGUGUGACCUUGUGGGGACGGGGUGACUAGAAGGGAGAGGUCAGGGGUCGUGUGCCUGGGACAAGGAGGUGAGGACGAGGAGUGAGGGCCAGUGGCUGGACCUGCAGUCACCUAGAAGUCCUUCUCCCCCGCGUCCCCACCGCUAGUUUCACUGUGCCUGCCCAUCGGCCAGCUCCGUGCCCGCACCUGGGCGUUUCAGGGCUGCCACGCAAACACUGUUUCCACUAGCAAGAGCACUGCUUUUUGAACAAAGCCAGAGGGUCCCAGGCUAUAGGAACCGCCCCAGAUCGCAGGGACGAGGAGGAUUUCAUUUAGGCCGCAGCACAAUGGACCUAGGAGGGAUGGCUGUGGGUUAAGCCUACGACAGUGGUGUGAGAUGGAGAGAAGGAAAGAGGUGGAAACCAAGGGGUUGGGGGGGUUUUGGUACAGUUGCCAUCGUCAUUCCAAAGGAGGUUUUCACCAGUAAGUGCAUCACCAUCGUCAUCACAAAUCAGCUGACUUUCAAUUAUCACAUUGUAGUAACAGUAUAACAGAGGUGUAAUAAUACUUAGAAGUUGCAACUGACAAAAUGAGGAAACAAAAACAACCAAGAGAAAACUCUUUUCUCUUCAGAUUACUAGUAUUUCAAGGGGAAUCGUUUUUUUUCCUUUUCUCUCCUGCAUGUUGAAUGUCGGAGGCAUUGUACUGUCUAUUUGUCAGGAACAGCCAGGCGGAACAGCCAGGCGGAACAGCCAGGCGGAACAGCCAGGCGGAACAGCCAGGCGGAACAGCCAGGCGGAACAGCCAGGCGGAACAG
ensembl:lncRNA